CGGCUAAAAUUUUAUGAACAUCCUUUUUUUGAUCUUACGGGAAAAAGUUGUUACGAUUCAGAAUUGAAUGAGCAAUGCGAUACCAACAUAUUUCAUAGGACGUACUAAUCAGCGAUGAGAUAUUUCUAGGGAGGAAAAUGCGAAUAAUCGGUUGGUACGAGUAAUAACAAAAAAAUGCGUAGAAAAAUGACUAAUUUAGUGGCUAUUUUCCAUCAUGAUGUCCCUUCGUUGGCAAAUUAGUAAUCACAGAAGUCGAAUCAAAGGUUGAACAGUGCGGUCAUUUCGUUGUGAAGAAAAGCUACUUGGUUGUUUCAUGUUUGCUAGUAUCAUUCCAUAAGCUGAAAUCCAUGUACCUAAGUUGGUGAAACAUACAUAUAUCUACAGGAUGGAGAUUAUCGAAAUAGUAUUCUUCGUGGUUUUUGUGAUAUUCAUUGGCAUAUGGGUAUUCGCAACAAUAUUCGUCAUUAUUCAUGUGUACAAGGCUUUCAAGACUGCAGGACGGGGACCACAACAUCUCGAGAUUCGCUAUACUAUUGACACACAUGUUGGAACAUCUGCGAACGAACUCUGAAUCUCGUAAGUGAUUCAGUCCGUCGUUCAGUUCUUUUGGUUACAUAGUUACUACACUACCGCGUAGAGCUAGGCCUACAAAGUCUCGAUGUUUGUUAACUUUCAGCUUUUAUAAAAUUUAUUACGAUGAAAUAAUUAAUAUACUAUGGUACUGUUA